UCCUCCUGAAUCCAUUCAAUAGCUGCAAAUACAUUCACCAUAGACCAUCGAUUCAUCAAGGGGUAACCAAAAACUAGCAACGGAAAUAAUACUUAUAUUUAAAACAUCAAAAGGAAAAUCAUAUUUCACAUUUUACAUUUUGAAUUAAUAUCGUAUAGACAAUUCAAUCAAUUGAAACAGCACUUUGAUCAACAGUAGAGUCUAUAGUAAUUAACAAACAUCAGAAAAGAAAUUUAAACUAGAUAAAACGUAGAAUUAUAUCCAACUUCAUUUACCAGCUAACAUAUAGAGUUAAAAUGAUUGAAAAUUGGGCAAUUUCAUAACAUGAUCCUCUUCUAAAUCCAACAAAUUUUCCGAGUCAAACAAAAGAUAAACAAAUUCCCAGCUUUAAUAAUCAAAUAAACUGUACGAAUAAUUGGAAUUUACUAGCCCAUGUUCUAAUUAAUGGAACAGGCAUCACAUAUUAAAGAUAAAAAUCUACAAUUAAAUAAUGUAUUAAGAAAACGAAACUAGGAAAAUGGAGAGAUGAUCGAAGUUACCAUUAACACCGUCG
rnacentral:misc_RNA from 1 species